rnacentral:rRNA from 1 species
UACGUAGGGUGCGAGCGUUAAUCGGAAUUACUGGGCGUAAAGCGUGCACAGGCGGUUAUAUAAGACAGAUGUGAAAUCCCUGGGCUCAACCUAGGACCUGCAUUUGUGACUGUAUAGCUAGAGUACGGUAGAGGGGGAUGGAAUUCCGCGUGUAGCAGUGAAAUGCGUAGAUAUGCGGAGGAACACCGAUGGCGAAGGCAAUCCCCUGGACCUGUACUGACGCUCAUGCACGAAAGCGUGGGGAGCAAACAGG